rnacentral:lncRNA from 1 species
CUGAAACAUAGUGUGGGAUGAGGAGUCAGGUGGCGCAAUCUGCAACUUUCAUUGACAUUCGCUGUCUUGAGUAGCCUAUUAUUAACUAAAUUCCUUCCUUUGAGAUGGGGCUCAGGGAAAUCCCCUUCAGUUACACUCCCUUUACUUUGGAUGCUUUUUCACCUUCUGCUAUGGAUUGAAUUGUGCCCCUCUAACCCCCAAAAUGCAUAUGUUGAAGAUUUAACCUCCUUUUAUUUGGAGACAGGGCCUAUAUAGAGGUAAUGAAAAUCACAUGAAGUCAUAAGGGUGUGGCCUUGAUAAGACAGGAAUAGUGUCCCUUAAGAGACACCAGAGUGCACUCUCUGCACACACACACAAAGAGCUCGUGUGAGCACACAGCAAGGUGGCAGCUACCUACAACGCAGGAAGAAAGGGUUCACCAGAAACUAUGCCGGCACCCUGAUCUCAGACUUCCAGCCUCCAGAGUGGUGAGAAAAUAAAUGUCUGUUGUUUCAGCUACCCAGUUUAUGGUAUUUUGUUACAGCAGCUGGAGCUAAGACAACUUCCUUCAUCAUGCUUUACCUCCAGCAGUCUCCUCUGGUGUAUCCUGCCUGAUUCUCUCCAGCUCCAUCUUCCCUGCCAUUCUGUUAUUAACCUCGAGGCUCUCUGGAGACAUUCUCCAUCCUCCUGAG